rnacentral:rRNA from 1 species
UACGUAGGGGGCAAGCGUUGUCCGGAUUUAUUGGGCGUAAAGGGCGUGUAGGCGGCCAGGUAGGUCUGCUGUGAAAACUCGAGGCUCAACCUCGAGAUGUCGGCGGAAACCAUCUGGCUAGAGUCCGGAAGAGGAGAAUGGAAUUCCCGGUGUAGCGGUGAAAUGCGCAGAUAUCGGGAAGAACACCCGUGGCGAAGGCGGUUCUCUGGGACGGUACUGACGCUGAGACGCGAAAGCGUGGGGAGCGAACAGG